AUGGUGGCGCUGCAGGAUAACAUCGGCGGUGUAAAAACACUGAACUGGACGAUGUUCUGGACUCGGUUACCCACCCGGUGCGCUCAGAGUGGUGGGAAGACAGAAAGAACACGCCUUCAAGGUGCGAACUACAAGCUACUCAGCCGGGUUAAAAUCCUUAGGCCUCUUAAGAUUCGGUGGACAUUAGCAGAGACACGUUUCCCAAAACUGCGAAGAGAAGCUGAAGCGAUUCUGCAGGAAGCUUUCCUUAAAGGAGCUAUGGAGAACGGAAGGGCAGACGCUCUGCAGAUAAGGUGUAGCACUUUUUUAAACUUCAUUUAUUUUGAAGCUCUGUGAUGUACACAUAGGUAAGAUUAUUUUAUCUUCUUGAUGAAUUGACAAUAAUUAUUAUGAAGCAUAUUACUAGAGACAUUCUCUAGUAAUACUGUUAGUCUGAUGAUAAAACCACCCUAUAUUUCUUAUGCUUAGGGUUCAUUUAAUGUCUUUUUUUCCUCCUUUAACUGUCUCAUCCUGACUUUAUAUUUUAGAUAUAUCUUAUGUAAACUAAAGAGUUGGAUUUUGGUUUUUAUCCAGUUUUGUCAUUUCUGCCAUUUAAUUGGAGACUUUAUUCCAUUUAUAUUGAAUAUAAUUAUUUAUAUGAUUGUCUUUAUGGCAAUUAAAAAAAUAUUUUAUUUUUAAGUAAUCUCUACAUCCAAAGAGGGGCUCAAACUCAGAGCUCCUAUAUCAAGAGUCAUAUGUUCCACCAACUGAGCCAGCCAGGUGCCCCUAUUAUAAUUUUUUGGUACCAUCUAUUUUCAUUCCUUUGUCUCUUGUUCACUGGAUUUGGCUUUUUUUUAAGAUUUUAUUUAUUUAUUUGACAAACAGAGAUCACAGGUAGGCAGAGAGGCAGGCAGAGAGCGAGGGGGAGAAGCAGUCUCCCUGCUGAGCAGAGAGCCCAAUGCAGGGCUCUAUCCCAGGAAUCUGAGAUCAUGACCUGAGCCUAAGGCAGAGUCUUAACCCAUUGAGCCACCCAGGCACCCCUGGAUUUGGCUUUUGUUUGUUUUUGCUUAAUUGUGUAUUUUUUUGGUAUUCUACUUUUAUACUAUAUUGACUUUUUAUGCAUAACAUUUUGGGGGGUAUUUUAUCUAAGGAUAAGCAUACACAGCCUUUAUUAAAACAGUCUACCUUAAAUUAAUAUUAUGUCACUUCACCACAAUGUGGAAAAACGUCCUGUUAGGUAUUUCUCAUCUUUUUCUGUCAUGACACAGAAGAUCAGCACAAGACGUAGGAGAGGUAUUUAAGAAUUCCUAUGGUGAAAAACCUCUAUGAAUAGAAUGAAAUUGGAAAAUGUUUGUAAAAUAUCUUAAUAUGUAAUGGGUAGAAGAUAUUCCAUACUAGAGAGAAAUAUAAUGAAAACAAUCAGUGUGAGAAAAACUUCAGCCAGAUUUCAAAUUUAAAUGUGCAUAAAAGAACUCAUACUGAAGAGAAAUGCUGUGAAUUCAACACAUGUGAGAAAAUAGUAAUCUUUCAUUUGUUAAAACACACAUGGGAGCACACACUGACACAAACCCUAUCAAUCUAAGAGACAGUAGAGAGCCCUUCAGCUGUUUUAUGUAUUGUAGGACUCACAUGAAAAUUCACAUUGGAAAAUAAAAUACAAAAUGUGGGAAAACCAUUAUUCGUUCUCCAUUUAUUGUUGUACAUGUGAUUUUCAUGGUUGAGAUAAGCCUUAUUUCAUGUAAUGUGAAAAAUGUGGGGAAAAAACCACUUCCAUUUUUUUAUCUUUUAGAAAAAUGUAGAAAAAAUCUCACUGAUGAGAAAUACUGUAAUUGUAAAAAAUGUGGAAAAAUCCUCAAUUGUCCCUCAUGCUUUAGGCACAUGUGAGAACUAAUAUUGAAAGUAUCUCCUUUGGCUGUUGAAGAUUAUGAGAAGAUCUUUAUUUCUCCUAUAUCUCUUAUUUUACAUGUAAGAUUCAUAUUGAGGUGAAGCCUUACAAAUGUAAGAAAUACAGGAAAACCUUCACUUAUUCCUGAAAGCUUACUCUACAAGUAAGAAAACAUAUAAGAAAAGGAUCUGUAUACAUAUAAGAAAUGUGGGAAAGGCUAUAGGUUUCCCUCUACCUUUAAUAACCACAAGCACUGGCCUUAUAAUGGUAAACAAUGUGACAAAUCCUUUCAUUUUUCAUAUUUUACUGUAUAUGUGAUAAUGCACAUUGGAAGAGAAACACUGUGACUGUAUGGAAUGCAGUAACUUCUGCCUUCUGAGCUCUUAGGUCAUGAGAACUCAUACUAGUGAGAAGUCAUAUUACUAUCUGGAGAGUAGGAAAGUCUGAACUUGUAUGUAAUUCCUUCAAAAUCUUGUGAAAAUUCACAUUGGAGAGAAAGCAUACAAGUGUAAGAAAUGUGGGAAAGUGUAUUUCCUAACACUUCAGCACUUAUUUGAGAACAUACACACUGAAGAGAAAAUAUAUAAUGAAUGUGGAAAAUCUGUUGUGUCUUUCUCAUUCCUUAGUCAGCUAGUGAGAACUCAUACUGUGGUAUAGACCUGUGAAGAAUGGAAAAUCCUUUAGCUUAUACCUUUAUGCUUUCAAAGAUGGGAAAAGUCAAGUUGGAGAGAAAGCCAAUAAAUGUAAUCAAUGUGGGAAAGCCUUCAGGUGCAUCUAAUCUUUGAUUAUGCUUGAGGAAAUUCACACUGGAGGAAACAUCUUUAAAAUAUUGUAAAUACGGAAGUGCUUUAUCAGUGUCUUAUCUUUGAAGUGACUCCUAGCUCAUAAUUUCUACUUUGUAUUUUCUAAUAUAAGCCUUUAUAAUAUAAAUGUUGCUCCUGAUGUCCUUGUAGCUAUAUCAUACAACUUCUGAUAUCUCAUUUUCAUUAUGGUUCAUUAAUAUGUAUUGUAUAAUUUCCAUUGUGAAGUCUCUUUAGACUUAAAUAAAGUGUUUUUAGUAUGUAAGUGUAUUUGAAAUUAACUUUGUUACUGUUUAUAAUUAAUUCCCAUUCCCAGAUGUAAUACAUGUGGUCAUUACAAUAUUGACUCUGGUAUUUGUUGGGUAAGUUAUUUAUCUUUAGUGUUGAGAGAUCUGUAGCAUUUUUGUAGCUAAUGUAGUGUAAAACCAAUUGCUUUGGUCAAUAAGUAAUUGAUAUAAGUAAAAAAAUGUGCAAAGUUAUAAAAAAGGAUAGUUUCAUUAGACUUGGUAAUUUCACCUUUUGUGCUUUGCUCCUCCAAGUUGGACACAAUACUUCAAGUUGAAAAGAGAGCCCUUGUAACCAUGAAAGUGAAAGCUAGGGGGAAUGAUGAUUGUGCUGUAUUGUGUUAAAUGAGACUUACAACCACAUUUUCCAGACUCUUCUCUGCUGUAUGGUUGCUAGAAUUGGACAAGAGUAACCUGCAUGAAAUUUGAAAUGCAAAAUGAAGAAGUCAUUAACCUCAAAAGAAUGUGGAAAUAGCAGAUUAACAGAUCUAGAACUGUUCAGGAGUUCCAAACUUCAACCUUGACUUCCUAACUAUUGGCUUUGUUGAACAUCAGCCCUAAGCUAAACACUAAGCAUGUAAUUUUAAUUCCCUCAGAGAUGGCAGCUUCCACAAACACCUCCAUGAGCUCACCCAUCAUGGUCCUACUUUGGCGGCUAGAUGUGCACAACUGUUUGAAUUUUCUACACAGUCAAACCCGCCUAUUCUCACUGCUGUUUCAGGAUAUCAUGAUUAGAGAUUUUCUUCAAAACUCUGACUCCCGGGACGCCUGGGUGGCUCAGUUGGUUGGACGACUGCCUUUGGCUCAGGUCAUGAUCCUGGAUUCCCAGGAUUGAGUCCCGCAUCGGGCUCCCAGCUCCCUGGGGAGUCUGCUUCUCUGACCUUCUCCUCGCUCAUGCUCUCUCUCACUGUCUCUCUCUCAAAUAAAUAAAUAAAAUUAAAAAAAACUCUGACUCCCUUUUCUCCACAUUGUGAAAAGUGUAAUUUCAAUAGUGAGCACCUAUAAUAUAUAAACAAAUAUAUAUAUACAAUAUAAACAAAUGUGUAACUUUGUUCCCCUUUUGCAUUGUUAAGUGGCCACACUGUCUCUGUACUGCCUGUUUCUGGACUCUUCCAAGAGAGAAAUAAGAACCUUGCUAAUCUGUGGGUCAUGCUGUGAGAAUUUUAUGUCAUUCAAAACUGAAUAAAAUCCUAAAUGAUAAACAUAGUAUGUGUUAAGUUAAAACAAC
ensembl:lincRNA